GCCAGGCCCCACACCCAGAGGCAGCUCUUUUUCCAAGUCGGCUGGAAUCUCAACGAUAUGCAGUCUUCGAACCUCCUGCUGCACACCUAAGGCACUGUGGUCUGGACAUCCUUCUAAAGCUCACAACACCUCCAUCACAGAUGUAGAAACCAAGGCUCAGAGCACGGUCACUGAAUGCCUAAUAAAUGGCGGAACCCAGGCUUGAACAAAAGACUUUGUUCCACUCAUCCCCAGGAUUACUUGGGACCCAGACACCCGAGCGGUGAGUGUCAGGAGUGGCACUCCUGACGUGAUGCCAUGACCUCCACGGUUUUUUUGACCACUGAGGCAUGUGGGAUCUUAGCUCUCCAACCAGGAUCAAAUCUGCACCCUCUGUGUUGGAAGGCGAAGAUUUAACCACUGGACCACCAGAGAAGUCCCAAGUAGCCUCAAAUUUAACCUCUAUCACCAUGGAUUAGUUUUUCCUGCUUUUUAACUUUAUAUAAGUGGAGUCACACAUGAUAUACCCAUUUGGGUCUGGGAAAGGUAUUUAGACUACUACUUCCUUGCUGACAACUAGAAAAAUCAAGUAUAAAUAAGGACACAAAAAUCACUCUUAGUGGUAUUGUGGAGGAAUGAUUACUUGCUCAUUUAUUCAACAAGGUUUUAUUGAGCAUGUUUUAUGGAUCAGACACCUCUCCGGACAUUGAAGAGUAAGUCAUGAGACGGUCUCCAUCUUCUUGGAGUUUACUUUCCAUGGUGUCCCAUUUCUAGUACUACUCAGAAUUCCAGCCUGAGCUCAUGUAUCAUCUGCCCAAAAGUCUGGAAAUGGACAACGUGGUCAUUCUGGAAUUUCAAAUCAUGGAAAAAACAGGGAACUUAAAUGGCCAUCUUUCAAAAGCAGAAUCAGAGAAGGUGCCCAGCCAAGCCUUUUGGGGGAGGUGAAGAGUUACCCGGAAAAGAGUUUUAUAUCCAGAGAUGGGAACUCAGCUCUAAUGACACAGUCUAGAAUGCUCUCUAGGCUGCAACGCUGCUCUCUUAACAAUAAGGCUUCCAACCACUUUCAGACUAGGAUAGGGUGGUAUUCAUGCUUAACUCUAGAGAUGCUUUCAUUGUGAGGCUUUCUAGAGACUCUCCCCAAUCAAUGUGGAGAGGGGAGCAUCAGAGAACAGAGAGGACUGGGUUCCCCCAGAUGUAAGCAAAUCAGGGGAACCAUGGAAAGUAGGAAGAAGACUGUGCACAAGCUCAGAAAGCAGGGUCACCUGGGCUGUGAAGUUACGGGGGAGACCGAGGCCAUGGGAACCACAAGUGCCCUUCUGUGAAACUUCCAAGACGGUGCCCAGAAAACUUUCAUAGACUAGUGAGCCAACUGGAUUUUAAAUUAUCUUGGAUCAGGGACUACAUUUCCCCAUAGAAAAAUCUUGGGAUGUGAACGAGUGGAUUCAUUGUUUGAGUAGAAGAACCUAAUCUGUUCUCCUUAAAUUCAGUAACUCAAAAAAGAAAAACAAAAGCCGGGAAUAAAAGAGCCCCAGAAGACCAGCUGCCUUACUUCUUUGCAUGUUUUCAUGAUGGGCUGUCUCUUUCUAAACAUGUCAGACACUUGAACCUGCAGUUACCAACUCAUUAUUUUUUCACCGUCACAAAAACCCAGUAGAGUAUUAGGAUCAUUUUCCACCUAAGGAAACUGAGGCUCAGACGCUUAUGCAACGCAAGCUUAUCCAAGUUGCACAGCUGGUUAAGUUGAUUGCAGAACCCACAUUUAGGUCUGUUUGAUGCCAACAUCUGUUCUCUAUUCUCUGCUGUGGAAUCACAGCAGAAUGCCCUCUUUCAACUUCCCGUCUCCCAACACAGUAAAACUGGAGCCCUUUCUCUUUCAUCCUAAAGCCCUACUCAAAAAUCCUGAGCCCCAAUCUCAACCCUUCUUUAACUUAUUACAGGAGCUCCAAGCCACCUCUUUAAAACGUCCUACAUCGUCUUUUCCCAGUUCUUUAAAAUGGGGCUACUGUCUCAGUCCAUCAUUACUUUAUCCUUUGUGAAGCAUAAACAAGAGUAUUUCACUUAUGUUCUGGCUUCCUCUGUUCGGAGGAAGCCUAACCAAAGUGCUUUUUGAGAUAAUUCAUUUGGUGAGUGUUUGUGACCCACAUCCCUAAGGACCCCCUGCUGGGAUCCUUCCACUUUUUCUUUCUAAAUUUCCAUAUGAAGAGAUAGAUAAUGGGUCUGCCCACAGAUCUAUAGCUGCAGUUACUUGGUGAGCACCCAUAUUGCAUCAGGUAGUAUAUACCGAUACCUGAGCAAGAGAGUUACAGGAAGCUGCUGACUUUGACUAGCCAGAUUACCUGGACAUGCAUAGGAAAUUUCCCUGUGCUCUGGGCAACGUUCUGUGUGUUUCCAUUGGCUGGGGUAGGGGGGAAGAAUGGGUUUGCUGACACCUGAAUUUUGAGAGAUAAGGAAGCUUGAGAGUCAGACUGGGCACACAGCAGUCGGAACUACAAAUCAAAGCUUUGUUGUUAAAAGGGAAGUGAUGGCUGGUUUUUUAAUGGGUUUUCCCAGCUAAACACAGAAACUGAUCUUCAUUACACUUGACUGCUUCUAUCAUGAUAGCAAGUGAGGGACAGAGAAAAAGCGAUUGUUCUCCAGGGACAUUUACUCUGAACACUUCAUUAUCCCUGCUGAGGGAAGCUGGGGAGGCAAAAAAUGUUCUCCCAUUGGGCUGAACUGUGAGGGGCAAGGAGGUGCCAUAUGUCACAACAAACUCCAAGACAAUAAGGUGAAAUGAAGAGCCCUCGUUUCUAUGAACUUCUUACCCCUUUCUCGGGGAAAGACACUGAGAUGCUGUAAAGGUCACCAGAGCUCCGUGCACACAACCACCCCUUUCUCGUGGGUGGUCCAGGAGUACAGAGCAAACCCUGUAAUUUAAAAAGUCAACCUAGGUCCUUAGCGGGGCUUCCCUGGUGGCUCAGUGGUAAAGAAUCCUCCUGCCAAUGCAGCAGACAUGGGUUCCAUCCCUGAGUCGGGAAAAAAUCCCCUGGAGAAGGAAAUGGCUACCCACUCCAGUAUUCUUGCCUGGGAAAUCCCAUGGACAGAGGAGCCUGGCAGGGCCACUGUCCAUGGGAUCGCAAAAGAGUAGGGCAUGACUUAGGGACUAAAUAACAACGACAGGCUCCUUAGCAGCCUGACUUGGAUCAACAACAUCUGGGCUUCAGCCCUGGUACCUGAACCAAGCAGACAGAUCUGAUGACCCUCCGCAUUCCCACUCCUACUCCUGCUGAAAUUCCCCUCUUCCUCCUAACUGUCUUUAAAAGGUGGGAAAGUGGGGAGACUUUGCUUAGAAGCUCCUUUGCAAAUGCCCUGCUCAUUCUGAAUGUUUGUCCCUAAGCUCCCAGUCCCCCCCACGCCCAGCGCUGAAUUUGCCUGGUUCUGAGAAUCCUGAACCUCCCUAGGGCUAGAUUUUACUACUAGGAACCGACUGCCUGCCUUCUCAGAAAAGUGUGAACACUGUUCCUGGAAUACAGGGUUUCACAGGUGGGCUCACUCAGUGUACACAAUGCCGCAUCCUCUGGGCUUUAGGUUUCAGUAUUUCUUAGGUGAUGAACCUGAGGCUUAGAGAGGGGAAGGAGGUGUCCUCUGCCCCAGGAACUACGGGACUGUGAGCCAUGGGUCCUAAAAAGCCCCCGCUACCCUGGAUCUUCUGCAGGUCCAGGGCAGCCUGGAGUCGGGGCGCACCUCCUGCCUUCUUCCUCGCCUCUGAGCGCCUCCGUGAACUCCGAUAGCGCUGAGAGGUUCCCGCCUUCCUUCCUGGGCCGGGCCGGCGUGAACAAUCACUUCUGUCCCUCGCUGGCUUGGUCGGCCCCUUCCCAACUUGGCGUGGGAGUCGCCAGCCACCGCCGCCUUGACCUCGCGUCCACAGAGAUCAGUCUCUGGCCCUGGGAACCGCUGUGUCCUGGAGCUGCGAAUAAACCAGAAAUCAGUGCGCCCAGAAGACGUGCGGCUUCAACUGCCCAGCCAACUUUCACUGGCAGAAAGGAGGCCCCUCAAUCCCAGUUUUGCCCCGAACGCGCGCUUUGAUAUUCUGGGUUUUGAAGCCCGGGGGCCCGGACGCCCAGCUCCCCGCGGCUUGGCCGGGCUGGGUGCCGGUGCGGCCCCGCUGCACCCAGUUAGUCGGCGCCUCCUCGUCCCAAGGGUUCUCCCGGCCUCCUUCCCGCUGGCCUACGCUCUGGGACCGACAGUUCUGUAAAUCCAAGCCGCCAGCCCCGGCGCCCGAAGGCCUGGGGUCGGCAGAGCGGUAACCCAGGUCUCCGCGUCCACUCCCCUGCGGUCAGUUUCUUCCUCCGCCGGCCCGGCUCUCCGGGCCCACCGCUUGCAGGUUGGUCGGGACGCGUGCGAGAGUACCCCUCCUCCGUCUGCUUCUCCCAAGAGCACCCCAGCUUCCUCCAGCCCUCACCUGAGCCCCCGAGCGCAGUUUCUCCUUCUCUCCGGACUUAAAGCCGGACCCACAGCGGGUGGAAAAGUCCCGGCGCCUUGCACAUCAGGCUGCAAGCUACUCGUUUAACGAGUCCAAAGGUCAGCUGAAGUUUGGCUGAUAGACGGAAGCGGUACACGAAUAUCUUCAGAACCCCGGCGUGAAUACCCUGGACCCUAGCAUCCCGGCUCCCGGCUCGGGUCUCGGGCUCUCGGGUCUGCCUCUCACACUCUCACUCUCUCGGUUCCCCUCCC
ensembl:lncRNA